CACAGACAAAAGUGCUGGUGUGGACAGAGCGAGGUGGGACGUAGCGACCGCCGCUCUAUGGGAGGGGGUUAGUCAUACACACAGCGGCUACAUAGGAGACCCUACAGCCGCCCAGUCUGUGGUGCACUCAUCGCCUGGAGAUGCCGCAGGGAGUGAGACGGGGGAAAAUGAGCUUCAGGGGAGGGAGCUCUGGGCUCCUGUCUUUAAGGACGUCCCCUCUGAGCUGCCAUAGACAUGGUGUCCUCCAUGGCCUUUGUGCUCUGUUUCCCACCAGCAACCCUUGGACACCUGCUCUACCCACCAGUCUCUUAGCAGAGGACUCAGAUACUGGUAUCUACCUCCUAUUCCAAGACCCGGGGUUGCUGCUCCCACCCAGCCUCUGCACCCACAUCACUAGAAGUGGGGAAGGUCCAACCAUGUUACGGACUCCCCAGCCAAGCCCCCCAACAGCAUGAAGCCUGAGCUUCAGCCUCUGUUCUCUUUUCAUCAGCGAGGACAUCGAAGUGGUUACAGAAUCCUCCAGCCUCAGUUGCAGCCUCACCGUACACCAAUCUAACUGCCCCAUAGAACCUAGUCAUGAUGUGAUGACCACAUCCUGGUGCAGCUUCAUGAAAAUUGUUAGGAUUCAACUGAGGGCUCAAUCUGAUUGUUCUUCCUAAGGUGAAAUCCCCACUGAAAUCAGAAGAUGUUUCCCCAAGCAAGGAUUGCAGAAUCCAGGCCUGUAAGGCUAGACUGUGUCCACCCCUCGCUCCUGGGCAUACAGGACUCGGCUUCUCUACACUACCUGCACAGCCAGACACACUGGAGAGGGCUGCACAUUCAUGCAGCCGCAGGCACCAUCCCGGUUCACCUAAUCUACAGUGUUGUCCAACAGCUGCAGUUUGGCCAACAGGCCAGAGAUUGAACUGAAGACCUCCAGGCUUGGAAGGAGGAGUCUCCACAGCUUGAGGUAAAGCCCCAGGCUCGGUAGUUGGGGCUGUCACAGACUCAUGGCCUCUAUAAAAAGAACAGGACUUGUGGCACCUUAGAGACUAACACAUGUAUUUGAGCAUAAGCUUUCCUGGGCUACAGCCCACUUCAUCGGAUGCAUAGACUGGAAC